UACGGAGGGUGCAAGCAUUAAUCGGAAUUAUUGGGCGUAAAGGGCGCGUAGGCGGAUAAGGAAGUCUGAUGUGAAAUACCGAAGCUCAACUUCGGUGCUGCAUUGGAAACUCUUAAUCUGAGAGGGAAGGCGGAGAAAACGGAAUUCCAAGUGUAGCGGUGAAAUGCGUAGAUAUUUGGAAGAACACCUGUGGCGAAAGCGGUUUUCUAGCUUUUACCUGACGCUGAGGCGCGAGAGCAAGGGGAGCAAACAGG
rnacentral:rRNA from 1 species